GAUGAACGCUAGCGGCAGGCCUAAUACAUGCAAGUCGAGGGAGAAUGUUGGAUUCGUCUGACAUGAAACCGGCGCACGGGUGCGUAACACGUAUGCAACCUACCCUUAACUGGGGUAUAGCUCAGAGAAAUCUGAAUUAAUCCCCCAUAAGACUACGACAUGGCAUCAUGAUGUAGUUAAAGCUCCGGCGGUUAAGGAUGGGCAUGCGGUACAUUAGCUAGUUGGUGAGGUAAUGGCUCACCAAGGCUACGAUGUAUAGGGGGUCUGAGAGGAUGAUCCCCCACACUGGUACUGAGACACGGACCAGACUCCUACGGGAAGGCAGCAGUAGGGAAUAUUGGUCAAUGGACGCAAGUCUGAACCAGCCAUGCCGCGUGAAGGAUGAAGGCCCUAUGGGUCGUAAACUUCUUUUAUUAGGGAAGAAAAAACGGGAUGCGUCCUGUACUGACGGUACUUAAUGAAUAAGGAUCGGCUAACUUCGUGCCAGCAGCCGCAGUAA
rnacentral:rRNA from 1 species